rnacentral:rRNA from 1 species
GAUGAACGCUGGCGGCGUGCCUAAUACAUGCAAGUCGAGCGAACAGAUAAGGAGCUUGCUCCUUUGACGUUAGCGGCGGACGGGUGAGUAACACGUGGGUAACCUACCUAUAAUACUGGGAUAACUUCGGGAAACCGGAGCUAAUACCGGAUAAUAUUUCGAACCGCAUGGUUCGAUAGUGAAAGAUGGUUUUGCUAUCACUUAUAGAUGGACCCGCGCCGUAUUAGCUAGUUGGUAAGGUAACGGCUUACCAAGGCGACGAUACGUAUCCGACCUGAGAGGGUGAUCGGACACACUGGAACUGAGACACGGUCCAGACUCCUACGGGAGGCAGCAGUAGGGAAUAUUCCGCAAUGGGCGAAAGCCUGACGGAGCAACGCCGAGUGAGUGAUGAAGGUCUUCGGAUCGUAAAACUCUGUUAUUAGGGAAGAACAUACGUGUAAGUAACUGUGCACGUCUUGACGGUACCUAAUCAGAAAGCCACGGCUAACUACGUG